rnacentral:rRNA from 1 species
UACGGGGGGAGCAAGCGUUGUUCGGAUUUACUGGGCGUAAAGGGCGCGUAGGCGGUAGCACAAGUCAGUUGUGAAAUCUCCGGGCUUAACUCGGAAAGGUCAACUGAUACUGUGCGACUAGAGUGCAGAAGGGGCAACUGGAAUUCUCGGUGUAGCGGUGAAAUGCGUAGAUAUCGUAAGGAAGACCAGUGGCGAAGGCGGGUCUCUGGACAGUUCCUGACGCUGAGGCACGAAGGCCAGGGGAGCAAACGGG